rnacentral:rRNA from 1 species
UACGUAGGGUGCGAGCGUUAGUCGGAAUUACUGGGCGUAAAGCGUGCGCAGGCGGUUUUGUAAGACAGAUGUGAAAUCCCCGGGCUUAACCUGGGAACUGCGUUUGUGACUGCAAGACUCGAGUACGGCAGAGGGGGGUGGAAUUCCACGUGUAGCAGUGAAAUGCGUAGAGAUGUGGAGGAACACCGAUGGCGAAGGCAGCCCCCUGGGUCGAUACUGACGCUCAUGCACGAAAGCGUGGGGAGCAAACAGG